AAUAGCGUAUAUUAAAGUUGUUGCAGUUAAAAAGCUCGUAGUUGGACCUUGGGCCUGGACAGGCGGUCCGCCUCACGGCGUGUACUGUCUUGCUGGGCCUUUCCUCUUGGUGAUCUGUGGUUUCGGCCGCAGGGAACCAGGACCUUUACUUUGAAAAAAUUAGAGUGUUCAAAGCAGGCUUUACGCCAGAAUAUAUUAGCAUGGAAUAAUAAAAUAGGACGUGCGGUUCUAUUUUGUUGGUUUUUGGGAUCGCCGUAAUGAUUAAUAGGGACAGUCGGGGGCAUUAGUACUCACAUGCUAGAGGUGAAAUUCUUGGAUUUUGUGAAGACUAACUUCUGCGAAAGCAUUUGCCAAGGAUGUUUUCAUUAAUCAAGAACGAAGGUUAGGGUAUCGAAAACGAUUAGAUACCGUUGUAGUCUUAACUAGUAAACUAUGCCGACUAGGGAUCGGUCGAUGUUAUUUUCUUGACUCGAUCGGCACCUUACGAGAAAUCAAAGUUUUUGGGUUCUGGGGGGAGUAUGGUCGCA
rnacentral:rRNA from 1 species